rnacentral:rRNA from 1 species
AACGAACGCUGGCGGCAUGCCUAACACAUGCAAGUCGAGCGAAGGCUUCGGCCUUAGUGGCGCACGGGUGCGUAACGCGUGGGAAUCUGCCCUUUGGUUCGGAAUAACAGCUGGAAACGGCUGCUAAUACCGGAUGAUGACGAAAGUCCAAAGAUUUAUCGCCAGAGGAUGAGCCCGCGUUGGAUUAGGUAGUUGGUGGGGUAAAGGCCUACCAAGCCGACGAUCCAUAGCUGGUCUGAGAGGAUGAUCAGCCACACUGGGACUGAGACACGGCCCAGACUCCUACGGGAGGCAGCAGUGGGGAAUAUUGGACAAUGGGCGCAAGCCUGAUCCAGCAAUGCCGCGUGAGUGAUGAAGGCCCUAGGGUUGUAAAGCUCUUUUACCCGGGAAGAUAAUGACUGUACCGGGAGAAUAAGCCCCGGCUAACUCCGUG